rnacentral:tRNA from 1 species
UGGCUCAGACCGUAAAGCACCUGCCUCCAAUGCAGGAGACCCGGGUUCAAUCCCUGG